rnacentral:rRNA from 1 species
CCUUGAAGAUCGGAGUGCUUGCACUCUGUGAAACAAGAUACAGGCUAGCGGCGGACGGGUGAGUAACACGUGGGUAACCUGCCCCAAGAGAUCGGGGAUAACACCUGGAAACAGAUGCUAAUACCGGAUAACAACAGAUGAUGCCUAUCAACUGUUUAAAAGAUGGUUCUGCUAUCACUCUUGGGAUGGACCUGCGGUGCAUUAGCUAGUUGGUAGGGUAACGGCCUACCAAGGCGAUGAUACAUAGCCGAGUUGAGAGACUGAUCGGCCACAUUGGGGACUGAGACACGGGCCCAAAAACUCCUACGGGAGGCAGCAGUAGGGAAUCUUCCACAAUGGACGCAAGUCUGAUGGAGCAACGCCGCGUGAGUGAAGAAGGGUUUCGGCUCGUAAAGCUCUGUUGUUGGUGAAGAAGGACAGGGGUAGUAACUGACCUUUGUUUGACGGUAAUCAAUUAGAAAGUCACGGCUAACUACGUGCCAGCAGCCGCGGUAAU